rnacentral:rRNA from 1 species
UACGAAGGGGGCUAGCGUUGCUCGGAAUGACUGGGCGUAAAGGGCGCGUAGGCGGUUUGUACAGUCAGACGUGAAAUUCCUGGGCUCAACCUGGGGCUGCGUUUGAUACGUGCAGACUUGAGUUCGGAAGAGGGUCGUGGAAUUCCCAGUGUAGAGGUGAAAUUCGUAGAUAUUGGGAAGAACACCGGUGGCGAAGGCGGCGACCUGGUCCGAUACUGACGCUGAGGCGCGAAAGCGUGGGGAGCAAACAGG